CCAAGCAGUGCAAAGCUACCCCCAAUCACUGAGAGCAAUCCCCCUGCAUCUGUCUCCCGUGGGAGGAACAGCAGUGUGCAGCCAGGCCGGGUUGCUGUAAGGUAACUUGGCUGGCAGAUGACCCGGGCAGACAGCGAGCGCUGCUCCGACCCCUCGGGGAGAGCAGGAGGGAGCGUGCAGCCAGGAAGGCUGGGCAGGCAGGGCCUCAGCUGGCGGAGCUCCACUGCCUUCAAAGGGUGAGCUGGGGAGGAAGCUGGAGGCAAUAAACAGAUCGCUGGGGAGUGAUACGGAGAACGGGUAAGGGAUGCUGCAGAUACUGUCUUUCUGUGCCCUGUGCACGGGCUGCAGUUGCUUAGAGGUAUUUCAUACGCAAGAAUAUUUCUGAAACCCAGUGGGUCAUGCUUACUAAGACGGUGCAUAAUCAAGAGUUCUGGCUAGUCAACCAUAUCUAGCUCAGAAGCUCUCAUCAGGACUGAAAAAGCACUUCUGGCUGCUUUGGGGUAAAAGAAGUGACCUGCAGCUCAGCAUUUCCCCACGGCUUCACCAACAGCCUUCAAGUGGAAUAUGGAUACAGCUGGUGUGGGUUUCCCAUAUUCUUCCUCUCACCUCUGUCCUCUUGGAUGAUCAGCCAGGCUCCCGUGCGGAGUUCCAUGAGCUGAGCUCACAAAGGAGCAGGAGGGAAAAGGGAGCAGGUUCAUCAUGUUCGUGUGGCUUCAGACCACAAAGCCGGAGGGCUCUGGCACGUGAUUUCACUGCUAAGAAUUGGAAAAGGCUCCAGACAACCUGGUCUGGACCCAGGGACGCACAUCUUAAGGUGGGCUCAAGAGAGACCAUGGUGUGAAUGACCUGCUGUAGAAGAGGCAGAGCUGCUCCAGUGUGUGUCUUAUUCCCCCCUCCUCCUAAACCAAAAUGAAACUUUUUUUUUUAAGCCUGACAAGCAAAAAUCCCCUAGAACCCAAAGGAGAUUUUGUGACUCACUUCUCCCUGCAUGUUCAUUGUUUCCUAUGGAAAACGCAGCUUUGCAGAAUCUUCUGUGUAGCUAAAAACUAAGAAAACAACUUCUUGGAAAAUUGAGUGGCACUAAUACUUCUGCUAAUCCUGACCCAGCAUAAGGCAGCCAGAUGGGGCGGUGGGGAUCAGAGCGAGGACCUGGAGGGCUGGCUGUGUCCUUGCAGCAGGCAGGGAGGUGACAGCCCCCUGACCCCGCUGAUGGCUGGCAGCUGAAGGUCUACCAGGCAGGUAUGGAGAUGUGCUGUCACCCCUGGGCUGUGUCCAAACCUGUGGUCACUGCUGUUUGGAGAUGAACUAACCCAGCAUCGACUGCAGACGUGUCAGGCUGCACUGUGAUUUCUUUAAUCACAAGAACGAUGGAAAAAGUGAACUUCAAGCCAAGUCCAGAUGCAGCUUUGCUAUGGGAAGCUCCAAAGCACAGAUCUCCUAGGGCCCAGCAGCCCCAAGCAAGCCCGUGGAGGGCAGCUCCACUGAAGUGCAGUGUCUGAGUUAGCAGAUGCUGCCCCAAAAGCUGGGUCUGCAGCCACGGGCAGCUGUGGGUGUGCUGCAUCUCCAGCUGCAAUGCGGGCUGCCUGCUGCUCCGGGGGUCCUGGGACAUGCCCAGUUCAGGGUCAGCAUAGAGUAAUGCUUUAUUCUGUCACCAAAUUCCAGGGCGGAGGACCAGAUGCUCAGCUUGGUGCAUACCAGCCUCGCUCCACACACUGCAGCUGAGUCUUCACUGGAGCAACAGGGCUUCAGCAGCGGGGUGGGAUCUGCUUCAAGGGGAAGUACAAGUCUUCAGAAGGCAGCAGGGAGUUCCUGGGCGGGCAGGUGAAGUUUGCUUUGGGCCAUUCAUGAAGAAGAAGCAACGAUGCCUGAAGAUGUUCCUGGGAAGUGCUUCCUGCUUUCCUCUGAUCUCCCAAGAGCUGAAGAAGCGGGCGGCCUGACCAGGCAGCAGGGCCCUCGCAGGGCAGGGGAAAUCCUCGGCCCUCGCCUGGGCCCAGCAGGCAGCUGGAUGUGAACAGUGGCUGCUAUCACAAGUGCAACGCUACCAUUUGCUGCAGAGAUCUCUAAUGAGCCAGGAACGCUGGAAUUCUUCCAGCACGUCGCCCCUGUUGGCUGCCCUCCCAUUUGGUCAUGCUAAACGGCUAGCACUGGCAGGGGGCUGCAUCCUUUCCUGGAAGGGAACUGCUGUUGCCUGCAGUGAGGCCACUUGUCCCGUGUCAGACAAGGCUGACCCUCGCCCCGAGCCAGGAUGGAGGGACCCAAGGGGGGAAGCCCGCAGCCAGCAGGUGGCUGUCUGUGUGAAACCAGAGCGUCCCACGCCGGGCAGGAUCAGAAGGGUAAAACCUGAACUUUUGCCCAUCUCCCCAUUUCUAUGAAGCAGUGACAAAUAAAGGUAGAUCUGCCAGUUUGUAAAUA